rnacentral:rRNA from 1 species
AUGAACGCUGGCGGCGUGCUUAACACAUGCAAGUCGAACGGGAAACCUUUUAUUGAAGCUUCGGCAGAUUUAGCUGGUUUCUAGUGGCGGACGGGUGAGUAACGCGUGGGUAACCUGCCUUAUACAGGGGGAUAACAACCAGAAAUGGUUGCUAAUACCGCAUAAGCGCACAGGACCGCAUGGUCCGGUGUGAAAAACUCCGGUGGUAUAAGAUGGACCCGCGUUGGAUUAGCUAGUUGGCAGGGUAACGGCCUACCAAGGCGACGAUCCAUAGCCGGCCUGAGAGGGUGAACGGCCACAUUGGGACUGAGACACGGCCCAGACUCCUACGGGAGGCAGCAGUGGGGAAUAUUGCACAAUGGGGGAAACCCUGAUGCAGCGACGCCGCGUGAAGGAAGAAGUAUCUCGGUAUGUAAACUUCUAUCAGCAGGGAAGAUAGUGACGGUACCUGACGAAGAAGCCCCGGCUAACUACGUG